UAUUUCACGCAUCCACAAUACAAAUAUUUGAUGGAGCCGUUUCGUGCAACGUAUCCCCAUAUGAAGAAAUUUCUUUUGGAAAGAGUGGAAGGAGAAGGACCUAAGCAAGUUAUUGGUGAAGUGCUGGAUUACCAACUGGAUUUAGGUCGUUUUUUACGGGCUGCAAUAGUUCUCAAAGUUUACGAGGCGAUGAAGUUACCACAUCCUGAACCUAACACGAUCCACACUGCUCACGCUAUGGCGUGGAUUACUGAACUGGUACAGGCACCAAUUGUUAUCGAGGAUGACGUAGUAGAUAAUUCUUUAUUGAGAAGAGGUAAACCGCCCUAUUAUGUGGGGAAAUCCCAGGCACAUUGCAUGGUAGUAGUCCGGUGGUUAAAUGAAUCACCUCACAUAUUAUUGAAUGAUUGGCUAGGAAAAUAUCCGUUCUUUGAAUCGGCUUCUAAUGUAUUA